CCGUAAGAGCACCUUUAUCGCGGUGUCUUAGCUAGCGUCUUUAGUGUAUUUACGUUUAAAAAAAAAUAAAAAAUAGCUAAUUAAGGAAGAGACGUUCCUUAAUGAGGACGCGCAAGAGACGGUGUUUUCGGGGCACGUGUCAUUCAUUCAACAUGGCUCUCUCUCUCUCACCCGCUUCGUCUUCUCUCUUUGCUAGGAAUUCGCAGGGUGAUUACAGGGUGAGCCUGGAAGCUAUCGAAACUCUUCCGUCUUUUGCUGUUUCCUUAUUGAUAAAAAGGAUCAUGCUUUGAUUUGAUUCUCUAACUUGCUGACUUAUUCUUUGAUGGCUCAUGGACCUUUUGCUUUGGAUCUUGUUCCAUUCCCAAAGAACAUCAUCCUUUUUGCCUCUUUCAUCCUCUUUGGUUCUUCCUUGAAGUCUGUUGAGUCACGGUUUGAUUGAUCCAACCUCAACAUCGUUGUGUUGACUUGUAAUGUUAGCUGAUGCAGAUUCAUGUAUAAGUUUCGAAUCACAGUCUCUCUCUCAUUGGAUCAUUUUGUAGUUUUGCCAAGGGAAGGAGAAAAACAUUGUUGUACGACUCCGAUUAUCGAGGCUAGGAUGCAAAAAUUGACCAUUUUUCCGGGUAAUGGCAGCUUAUAGCAGAUCUCCCAGAGACGGGAAGCACAUCGAGGUUUUGUGUUACUUCAAUCAUCUCCCAGGACAGGACGGUGGUAAGAGAAUGGGUCUCAAGUUUGACCAUAUCAAGUUCCCUUCUCUUUCUUUCCUCUAACGUGUUGAUGAUUGAUUAGUUAGACCAUGGACGCUCUCUUACUUUUGUUAAUCUGUGAAAUGUAAAUGGAACUGAAAAUUUAUGAAGCUGGAUACUAUGUUGAUGUGUAACAGACAGAAAGAUAGAUAAAAAGGUACGAGAAGCUCAGCUUGCUCAGUACAACUACAUACUUGUAGUUGGUGAAAGUGAAGCUUCUACAGGACAGGUGAGUGUUCGGAUAAGAGACAGUGCAGUCCACUCUGUGAAGAGCAUCGAGGAUUUGCUGGAAGAGUUCAAGACCAAGACUGCCGAAUACCAAUGAGAUCAAACUCUUGCAAGUUCAAGUUUGAUUUUCUUCAAAUACAUAAAUGUUAGUGUGAUAGUGUUUAAAGAUGGACACAUCUUGUAAUGAUAGUGUGCUUGUUUCAUUAGUAUGAUUAGUAGAGAACCAUUUGCUUU